GCCCGUCCGGUAGCCUUCCUGGUAGCUGUAGCCCUGGUCCCAAUUCUGACUCUGACCUCCACCAGUGCCUCGGUUCCCUCGAUUGCGAUUUCCUCUGCCCCCAGAGCCAUACUGCUGUUGCUGAUACACCUCUUUGGGCUAGGCAACCUUGAUUUCACACUUGCAUCCACUGACGGAUCCUUCUUCAUAGCCAUGGCCUUUUUAGGGCCAAUGACACGACCAUCCAGUCUGUGCUCUGCUCCUUCUGAUCAAAGACCUUCUCCACCACCGGAAGAAUCCUUGAAGAGCUACAAGGAUCAAGGUGAACACAGCAAGGAAUGUGUGACUUCCCUUUUGCCUUGGUAAUCCUGUUUAUAACAGAAAGAAUUCCCAAAAGCCUCUAAAGUUUCUCCCACGAGGUCUCAGAAGAUGUGGACGCAGCUACAGGAUGCCGCCUGGAUUGUGAUAUGACAAUCACUGAAAUACGCAGUGGGCAAACUGGAUCCUCUUGAGUCAAAUGGCUUGGCUAAAAUAAAGUCCAGGCACUUAACUAUAUCCAGGACAGCUCCAGAGAAGCCACCUUCAGAUGCUCCAUCUCCUGUGAGAGACGCUUCUUACUGGACCUGUCCUUCUGACCUAUCCUCAGAUGGUUCCACAGGCCCUGGACAGCAAGGAGACAGCCAACUCUCCUAAGACUGGACAAACAUCCACCAUACCCAUUCCUCUAGGUUCUCCAGAGACAUGUCACCCCAAUGUCAGCAGGAAGCAGCCAGAUAUCACAACAACCCUAUUCCUGCUUUGCCAUCACCUCUUCUAAUUUUUUUUUCUUAACUAAACCCAAAUGGGGGAAUGUUAGCAUUCUGUAUAAACUCCACCCCCACAGA